GUCAAAAAGUGCGAGAAGCGGCCAUUUUCUCAGCGUCUGCAGAUGGAAGCGAGUGAAGGGCGAUUUUCGACUUGUUGAGCUUCGAGUCUUCAUUUUGUCCGCGCCGGGAGUUAACGACACGGAAGACCGCGUGUGAGAGGAGGUGAUCGGCUCGGCUUCUUCAGAAGAGACGGAAAGACAAAUAGAGAACUCAACUUUGAGGCUAACACCACAGGCACCUACUUGUGUGAGGAGGCGAUUUUUCUGAGCUUUAGAAAAGAGGGAAAAGUGAUUUAAGGCAAGUAAAGAACUCAAAUCAGCUCUGGAGUUAACGGCACGGAAGGCCGCAUGUGAGAGGAGGCGAUCUCCUCAGCUUCUUCAGAAGAGAGGGAAAGACAGUAUAAG